rnacentral:misc_RNA from 1 species
AUAGUAGGUGUCGAAUCUAUUUGGUCUCGCCCAAAAAGAUUUCGACUUCCUCCUCGAUCAUUCUCUUUGUGCACUUUUUGAAUAAUGCUUUGGUAGAUUCCUACCAAAAGUUUUAUCAAAUAGCCUUAUUUUUAUUGUCUGAAAAAUAAAAUUUUUAAUUUUAAAUA